GCCCUCUCCUCUCCCUACUCUCUCUCCUCUAUUCUAUCUCUCUCUCCCUUGCUCUCUCUCUCUCACGCUCGCACCUGGAGACCGAGCCCAGCCACGCCCCGCGUGAUGCCCCAGCCGAACGCCGGCGCCCAGGCGGCCGAGCGCGCGACGUGCAAGCAGCCGAGCGCCGCGCCCUGCCUCCGCGCGCGCGCAGGCCGCGCCUGCUCCCCGCGUGCCCGAGCGCCGGGGUCGAGCGAGCACCCGAGCCGGCUGCCGCGCGUCC
rnacentral:lncRNA from 7 species